UCACAUUAAGCUUACGCGUCGGAAAUGUUGAACUUGCGGCAAUCACAAUUUAAAACAAUUUUGACAAGUAAUAUUCUAUAUUUUGUAGAGAUACCCCACCAAAUUCGUCUUUAUAAUAUUUAUCAAAUAUCGUAGACAGGGCGAUGUUAAGAGCAGCAGUGGCGGCGCUGGCGUGCCUUUAUUUGGCGCGCACCUCGCCGGCCGAACCAUACAGUCUGCGCGCUUAUUCACUCAGCACACAAAACCCUAAGGAUAUAAGUAAAAUACUGACUAGCAUAGAAGAACGUCUCAAAGUAUUGGACACAGUGAGCGCGGCGCAGGAAA